rnacentral:lncRNA from 1 species
CUUCCACCAUGGAGUUCCUGGGGAUCAAAGUCAGAUAUCAGUGCCUUUACUCCCUAGCCAUCUCAUUGCCUGCCCUCCCGAAUUGUUUUCAAGCAGUCUCAGGCGUUGUGAAGCCUCGACAAGAUUGAUGUCUGAUGUCUGCUGCAUUCAUCCAAGGGACUCUGUGUUGCAUGAGAGAGCAGCAAAUUCUCAUGUACAAAGGAAUGCACACUCCCCCUAGGAGUGCCAAGUAAAACAUAGGAAAGACUAGCUUGCAAGGUUGUCCAUUCAGACUCACCCCACCAGCAUCUACUUGGAACUCCUGCCAUAUGGGUGUGUGACAGGAUACAAGGGAACCCAGCCAGCCUCCUGGAAAUAACGAUCUAGAGGGGAAAUGGAAAAUGACAGUCAUCCCAGAACACUGCUCUAUGGACGGGAUGAAUGAAGAGUUCAGUAGAAGAAAGCUUGGCUCUGCUCACUAACAGGGCUCCCCCAAUGUUCAAAGCACCACAGGGGUUCCUCUCUAGGCCAGCUAGCUCUGCCCAGAAUGAAGUCUCCUCUACCCCUGGCAUACCACAGUGGUACCCCUGCUCCAAGACGCCCUCUGUCUUCAUUGUGCUUUAUGCUCUUAGCUGUUAGCUCUUUCCUGGCACCUUUGACAUUAUCUACCUUGUACGGCCCCUCACAUGAGAGUGAGGGAUACAUCUGUACCCAGUAAGUGCUGUGCAGAUUCAAUCUGUAGGAAUUAAAUCCAACUGGAAAAUGUUAUUAGACAAAAUAAGGAAAGUAUGCAUUUGUAUUUGCUGGCAUGGAAGGAAGGAUUCCUAGAGAAAUCACAGCUACUCAGGAAGCUGACGCGGGAUCAAAAGUUUGAGG